rnacentral:rRNA from 1 species
UACGAAGGGAGCGAGCGUUGUUCGGAAUCACUGGGCUUAAAGCGUGCGCAGGUGGAUUGGUAAGUAAGGAGUGAAAUCCCAGGGCUUAACCCUGGAACUGCUCUUUAGACUGCCUGUCUGGAAUUCGGAAGAGGUUGGUGGAACUCCCAGUGUAGAGGUGAAAUUCGCAGAUAUUGGGAAGAACACCGGUGGCGAAGGCGACCAACUGGUCCGACAUUGACACUGAGGCACGAAAGCGUGGGUAGCAAACAGG